GUUUGCUCGACACAGCCGGUCCCAAGCCCGGAAAAGGAGGAGGGUUUGAGUCAACUGAUGGGAUCUCAAUGUUUUUUAAUUAUCUCUGCAUUUGUGUUUUUUCUGCCUAUUAUUAGGUUGCCUCUACUCUCAACUCUUUCUGAUUGCGUGCAUCUUUUCUGUGUUGCUGGUUCAACUUUUGGAAUAUUAAUUACAUUGGGAGUGUUGAAGGCUUUAUUCUUGUAGCUGGGUAUAGAAAGGAGUCUACGAGCUGCUGUCUUUGGAGAAUUGAAUGAUCUAGGGCUAACAUAAUAAUCUCGAUUUCCAUUCCUUGACUCUACUUGUGGAUUUCACCUUAUUUUUGGCAGUUAGAUGUAACUGGUUCUAGACGAGCUGUGUUGGCUGGCCAUACAACUUUUGCAGUGGAAUGCAAAAUGAACUCUUCUUCAUUUGCCAGGUUGCACGAACCAUUUUAGGUGUGCUGUCUCUUAAGAGUAAGUUUUACUUGUCCUAUUAUUUAUCCAUAAUCUGUUUCUUGCUUUGAAAUAAGUGACUUAUUACUUUUAAUUUAAACUAUGUGCUCACUGGUAUGGGGAAUGAGAACUUCUAACCAUCCAUGUUCAUGAUAUACACGGAAGUCAAAACUGUGAGAUGCCACAUUGUGAAUGUAUUAAUUUCAAAGGGCGUUAUAUAUUAAAUGGAAAAGUGUUCUUGGUUGUUCUGCAUGUUACACUGUAUUCAAAAGUUGCUUUAUUGUGUCAAUUUAUGUUUUUAUCUAAUAAUAGGCUCUUGUAAUUCCAUCUGUGUCAAUCCAUAUCUAAGAUAAUAUAACAUUUAGGAAAAUGGUAUAGCUCGAGUUACCUAUCUUAGAGAACUCGUGACAGUCUUAUUGACACACCUUUGAUCAGUUAAAAUUAUUAAUGUAAAUUGUUAGAUAUUACCUACUAGUAUAGCAGCGAAAUGAAAUAGUCAUUUAACUACAUUAAAUGUAUGUAAGAAAAUGCCCUCGAUCUGUUUAGUUCAGUUCUGUGUGAUGUUUUCUGGAAAUUUUCGUCGACUCACUUUGGCAUACAGUCAUAGAAUUCAUUAAUUUACUUGUACAGUCCAAAUUUUACUAGAAUCAAUAAUUAUGAUUAACAUGGCAAAGAUUGCAUAAAUAUAUUUUUAAGACUUCACUGCUUUCCCAAAUUUACUAGAAAUGCAGGAGGGAAGUAAUGAUGGUCAAGAAAAGCUAUCAUUCUAUAUUUUCUUGUUUGCAAGUUCCAUAACUGAAAGGUUUCUCAGAGCUGGACCCAGCUGCAACCGCCGCAUUAGAGCUUCUUCAGGUAAUAGGUCCUCGGGAAGUAGAGAUGACAGAAAGGAGACCGCAUCUGAGAAGGCUUAGAAGGGUAUCCAGGGAAGCAGCCUUGAACAAUUGUGCAGAAUACUGGUUUUGUAUAAUUCAAGGAGAAUGGCGUUUUGGUGUGGAAUCAGAAUUUGGUGAAAUACUUUUGUUCUUUCUUUUGAACUCAAUAAAUGUGUAGGGUAGAUUCAAAUCUAUAAACUCACAUAGUUGAGAGGAUGAAGAGCUUUAUUCUUCUUUCAUGUAUGAGAUAAUCCAGGAAGGCUCCAAGUAAGUUCCUUCAAGCACUGGGAAUUUAUCGCUCUGAGGUGUCUCUCUCACUGGAUGGCCUAAACCACAGUUGGAGUCAUAAGGAAAAUACCAGUUGGACAGGAAGCCUUUCACCGCCUUCUCACGCUAAUGAAAGCCAUUUUUUGAAUGUGCUACAGGAGAAAUCGAAUAACCGUGGCAUCUCAGUACUUCCCUUCAUUCAUUGAGUUGGAGGAAUCCAUCAUAGGGACAUUGUCUUUUCGAAAGCUUCAAACUCAUGCUCUUCAUCGAAAGCGGCUUCCAAUUGCUCGGAAAUUCUCCGCUCUGAGCUGCUGAGGGAUUAACCUGAUUGCCCUAAGGCUUGGAACGAUUAGGGGAAAACCAUUGAAUUGUGUCGAUUCGAGCUAGCUUCAGGUCUUCUUCAAUCAGAAAGUAAUGCCUUUUCACUAUAGUAAGGGAUUCGAUCCAUAUGCGAAAGGAAAGAGGGAGAAGACAGCUAUCCGAGGCUCAAGCGUAGCUCUAUCUACUGUUCAGGACUUGUCCUGAGCUCUUUAGAGCAAAAAAUUGGAUAUAUCUAUAAAUCUCACUCUCAGAACUCUGGCAUCGUGUGCUUGUACAUUUUGUAGUGCUGGAAUUCUGAAUUUUGUAUCUGGUUGUAUCUGCUUUCCACUUCAAUCAGAAUUUGAACAACUGGGUUUUCAGAUUUUAAUAAAAAUUU
rnacentral:lncRNA from 1 species